GUAGACCACUAUGGCUAAAAUGAACUGAUCGCGUACGAGAUUCGUUAACAACUGCGGCAGUUGUGUUAGUAUGAAAACACACGGCAUAUAAACGCAUACGAAAUAUUCGCGUGACGAAGGGUUGGCGAAUUGGGAACAACAGAACAUUCGGUUCUCUCGUUAGUAAACAAUUACUAAGUAACCCUGAGAUCUUGAUUCCAGAAGAGAGCGCUUGACUUUUUUGUAUAAAUGAUGAUAAACAAAUUUACACUGCUCAGACGUUUAUAUAUGUACAUAUUUUAAUAACUGUAAACAUUUCGCCUAAAACAAAAUAAAUUAAUACAUGAAGAUGUAUGUGAUGAAGCUUC